rnacentral:rRNA from 1 species
CCUACGGGUGACAGCAGUGGGGAAUAUUGCACAAUGGGGGGAACCUUGAUGCAGCAACGCCGCGUGAAGGAAGAAGGCUUUCGGGUUGUAAACUUCUUUUCUCAGGGACGAAGAAAGUGACGGUACCUGAGGAAUAAGCCACGGCUAACUACGUGCCAGCAGCCGCGGUAAUACGUAGGUGGCAAGCGUUAUCCGGAUUUAUUGGGUGUAAAGGGCGUGUAGGCGGGAGCGCAAGUCAGAUGUGAAAACUCAGGGCUCAACCCUGAGCCUGCAUUUGAAACUGUGUUUCUUGAGUGCUGGAGAGGCAAUCGGAAUUCCGUGUGUAGCGGUGAAAUGCGUAGAGAUCGGGAGGAACACCAGUGGCGAAGGCGGCCUGCUGGGCUCUAACUGACGCUGAGGCACGAAAGCGUGGGUAGCAAACAGGAUUAGAUACCCCUGUAGUC